rnacentral:lncRNA from 1 species
UAUACUCCCUCCGAUCCAUAUUAAUUGGAGUAGCAUAAUUCACGAGUUACAUAGAGGAGAAUAACAAAGCACGACAUCCAGGUGACGGUAACAAAUAGAACGACAACCCAAUAAUUUACAUCCACUAAAAGAAUAUAAGAGCAAGCCACAGGUAAUUUGCAGUGGACAUCAAAUUUUACACAAAGAGCAGGGUGGUGAACAUUGCUGAAAAAUAUAUUGCAUAACUGAACAUUGAUAUUACAAAAUAAUCCACUGACAACAUUUGAUUUACUACUCGCGUAGUUCCCUGAUAAAAUACUGGCAACACGCCUAUAGGUUACAACACCAGCAUGGAAGGAAGAAACCAUUUACACCACAACACAUACAUACAUACAUACAUACAUACAUACAUACAUACAUACAGCAGAGCACUUGUAUGCAAAAACGGGAUGAAAAAUACAUGGGGUAUCACAAUCAUCUAAAAUACACUUAUUGUUGAAAACCCACAUGCUCAUAUAGACUGACUGAAUUGGAAAAAUUCAAAACAAAUGUUUCAAUGCUUAAAAAAUUCUGCGAAAAAAUCCACAGUAUCAUAUAGAUGUAUACUGCAUACUCACAAAUUUUCAUAAUGAAAUACAUGGACAUGAGAGCUACACAAAAAAGACAAAUUGCUGACAUUGGAAAGAGUGAACAGUAUACGAACUGUUCACUGUAUAAACCGAACGAUUUUUAGUUUUUUGUGUAGCUCACGAAUCAAUGUAUUUUCUCUACUCUUAUAAAAAACCGAGUUGGUGAUGAUGGUAUGCCUGCCAUCUUGCAAUAUAGACCGUCCGAUCUAUAUCUGACGGAUAGAAAGCAAACUAUGGCAAUUUUGCAAAAAGAUACCCGCACCCCUCUCCACAUUUGCAGAUAAGGCCUUCCCUCGUUCAUCCUUAUCUCCCACAACCUCAUUGUUGAGCAAUUAAAAAAGGAAGCCUCUGGAACAAUUUGGCAUGGUGGCCGCUGCCAGCGUCGUCCAUCCCCAUGCCUCCGCUCAGUCCGACCACCAAUCACCACCACGCCCCACUCCUGCUCACCUUAUCUCUCCUCUUUCUCGAGCUAUCAUUAGUUUUUACACAUGGUUUUACUCACGCAUGGGUCAAUCACAACAGGUGGCCGCUGCCAGCGUCGUCCAUCCCCAUGCCUCCGCUCAGUCCGACCACCAAUCACCACCACGCCCCACUCCUGCUCACCUUAUCUCUCCUCUUUCUCGAGCUAUCAUUAGUUUUUACACAUGGUUUUACUCACGCAUGGGUCAAUCACAACAGGUGUUUUAUAAAAAAAAGUGCAUCUUGAUGUUCCAUGCAAUGCACGGGCAUCUUGCUAGUCUCAUGAAAUUUUACACAUGUGUAGUAUGCAUCCACAUGUCAAUGUGGAAUUGUUUCCAGAAUUUUUUGAAACUUUGAAAUGUUAUUUUCGAAUGUUUCAAAAAAAGGGCUCCAUGUAGCCUGAGCACCAAAACGCCGCAUUCCCACUUCACGCAGGCGCGCGAAAAAUGGACAAAUAGAAUGGACCAGCAUUUAGCCAUUUACGCCAUACACUUGUGAAUGUAGGCUAUAUGUCAAAAAAUAGCAAAGUUGCAUCAGUGUGGCGGAUGUAAAAAAUGUCGAUCAACUGAACAUAAAAAAAAAAAAGGAAUCCUAGACUUCACAAAAUCAGUGCUUGUUUGAAGCAACUUGGAAACUACGCAACAAAUAACUAAACAGAAACACUACCAACUCCCACCAAAGACUAAAUCUAAAAAUUAGAACUUAGUAAUCUGCUGCCCAAAGCUAGCUCUCAAUUCUCAUCACUGAAGAACUGGUGAAACCAUAUACUCUGAGCUAGCAAAUUUCCCUCUAAUUCGAUUAAAAAUGUUACGGGAUACACUCCCUCAACGUGACCGAAUCAUGCCGACGUACCUAGUUUGCAGUCAAAUUAGUGAUGAAAUCUGAUGAAACCAAAACAACACUAAGCGCUCAGGUGAACUAAUCGCCGAAUCGACUGAAUCACGCAACCACUUAACACAUUUCAAUACCAAAUCAGCAACACAACCAGCACAGCAGGGAAAGGCGCACCGGCGUGGUUGAAGCCGAUCACGGAGCAGGGCGUGGCUCGGUCGUUGGAGCAGGGCCAGGUGGUGUGGUCGGCGGAGAAGGG